rnacentral:rRNA from 1 species
GUGGGGAAUCUUGCGCAAUGGGCGAAAGCCUGACGCAGCCAUGCCGCGUGAAUGAUGAAGGUCUUAGGAUUGUAAAAUUCUUUCACCGGGGACGAUAAUGACGGUACCCGGAGAAGAAGCCCCGGCUAACUUCGUGCCAGCAGCCGCGGUAAUACGAAGGGGGCUAGCGUUGCUCGGAAUUACUGGGCGUAAAGGGCGCGUAGGCGGACAGUUUAGUCAGAGGUGAAAGCCCAGGGCUCAACCUUGGAAUUGCCUUUGAUACUGGCUGUCUUGAGUACGGGAGAGGUGAGUGGAACUCCGAGUGUAGAGGUGAAAUUCGUAGAUAUUCGGAGGAACACCAGUGGCGAAGGCGGCUUACUGGUCCAUUACUGACGCUGAGGUGCGAAAGCGUGGGGAGCAAACAGGAUUAGAAACCCUGGUAGUCC